UACGAAGGGGGGCUAGCGUUGCUCGGAAUCACUGGGCGUAAAGGGUGCGUAGGCGGGUCUUUAAGUCAGGGGUGAAAUCCUGGAGCUCAACUCCAGAACUGCCUUUGAUACUGAAGAUCUUGAGUUCGGGAGAGGUGAGUGGAACUGCGAGUGUAGAGGUGAAAUUCGUAGAUAUUCGCAAGAACACCAGUGGCGAAGGCGGCUCACUGGCCCGAUACUGACGCUGAGGCACGAAAGCGUGGGGAGCAAAAGGG
rnacentral:rRNA from 1 species